rnacentral:lncRNA from 1 species
UUUCCUGCUGAUAUUGCAGGGAAUACAUUCAUCUGAGCAAAAAUCCCAGUAUUGAUGUAUUCAUCUUAAUCCAGUUGAAGCCAAGCAUGAGGCUUGCAGGAGGCUGGUCCUAGGCUUCAGGUCCUGCUCUCUGAUGCAGGUCACAGCCAUGGCAAGGCUCAUUGGCAAAGCCACAUUUCCUCAGACCAUCUCAUACAGCUGGAAAUAACAGAUAAGCUUUCAGUCACAUAAGCUUGGGUCUCUUUAUAUGCAAAGUUAUUUGUCUGUGCUCCUCAGAGGGUUUGAUUUGUGUUCAUUUGCAUGUACCAAGUAUAGUGAAACCCAGUGAAUUCUCCUGACAUGUUUUCACUCCUGCAAGAAACAUGAUGGGAAGUGGAAGAUACAAUCAGCUCCCUCCCUAGUGGCAUCAGAAGCCCAGAGCCAGGACUCGGGAGCAUCCUUGUUUUCCCACUGAGAACUGCCCCACGCCCUGCACAGCCCAGACCCAGGGACCAGCCAGCACCACAUUGUCUGGCUCCCUUGGCG